rnacentral:lncRNA from 1 species
UUUUAACAAUUUUUUUUUUGCCAUUUAGGUCUACCAGAGGAGAGAGGUAAAACGUUACAGCCUGUCUCUCUCCUUCAAAACCCUCUCUCAAGACACACACAGCAGGCCUUCGAACACCACAAACAUUGUCGCUUUUCCGAUCAAAACCUUGGUGGCAUUCAUCACGGGAAAGACAAAGUACAUGAGCGGGAGAUGAUGAUUUGUGGUGGUGAGCAACCAGAGCGACGAUAUGGGUAUAAGAAGAAAGCCCGAGCAUAAGAAAGGGUUUUGGACAAAGAGAGGUGCUGGCUCUAGGGUUCCGGCUGUUGGUCCUGGCAACGACCAUAACCGACGGUCCCGCGAGCCCAGUGGUGGUAGCGAUUUGGGUUGAUGUAAAACGGUGGAAGUGUUCAGGUUUUGACAGAGGAGUGACGACUGCCGUUUGAAGGCUUGGUAUUCCGGCGAGGUGUUUUCCGGUCUAGAUCCAGACAAUAUUCCGGGUUAUUCUAGACCUCCGACCAAAAUCCGGUGAACGACGGUGGUUGUAACGGUGAGUGGCGAAGAUGACACAAAUAUAAUGCGACGAGUAUCAUUGACGAGUGAAAUACUUCAAAGAGUACAAAUACUACAAGUUGGAUGGAUUGGCUAAAGUCCCAAAUGUCAACACAAGUUCAGCACCAAGCCAAACACCCACGUGGCAGGUUCCGUCGAUACAUCCGAUCUCCCCAGCUACAGUGUUCGGGUUGAAUCCUCCUAUUGUUUGCAGUAAUUCAAUUUAAGUAGCCGCAACGCGGCGACACGAAAAAAAACCUAGUGUGUUUAAAUUUACAAAAUCUAUAUAUCCGGGCCUUUGGGAAGACCUGGCCUUGGUCAUUGCUUA